GAUGAACGCUGGCGGCGUGCCUAAUACAUGCAAGUCGAGCGAAUGGAUUAAGAGCUUGCUCUUAUGAAGUUAGCGGCGGACGGGUGAGUAACACGUGGGUAACCUGCCCAUAAGACUGGGAUAACUCCGGGAAACCGGGGCUAAUACCGGAUAACAUUUUGAACCGCAUGGUUCGAAAUUGAAAGGCGGCUUCGGCUGUCACUUAUGGAUGGACCCGCGUCGCAUUAGCUAGUUGGUGAGGUAACGGCUCACCAAGGCAACGAUGCGUAGCCGACCUGGGAGGGUGAUGGGCAACACUGGGACUGAGACACGGCCCAGACUCCUACGGGAGGCAGCAGUAGGGAAUCUUCCGCAAUGGACGAAAGUCUGACGGAGCAACGCCGCGUGAGUGAUGAAGGCUUUCGGGUCGUAAAACUCUGUUGUUAGGGAAGAACAAGUGCUAGUUGAAUAAGCUGGCACCUUGACGGUACCUAACCAGAAAGCCACGGCUAACUACGUGCCAGCCGCCGCAGUAA
rnacentral:rRNA from 1 species